GACGAACGCUGGCGGCGUGCUUAACACAUGCAAGUCGAACGAUGAAGCUGGAGCUUGCUCUGGUGGAUUAGUGGCGAACGGGUGAGUAACACGUGAGUAACCUGCCCUGGACUCUGGGAUAACCCCGAGAAAUCGGAGCUAAUACCGGAUAGGACCUCGGAUCGCAUGAUCUGGGGUGGAAAGUUUUUCGGUCUGGGAUGGACUCGCGGCCUAUCAGCUUGUUGGGGAGGUAAUGGCUCACCAAGGCGUCGACUGGUAGCCGGCCUGAGAGGGUGACCGGCCACACUGGGACUGAGACACGGCCCAGACUCCUACGGGAGGCAGCAGUGGGGAAUAUUGCACAAUGGGCGCAAGCCUGAUGCAGCAACGCCGCGUGCGGGAUGACGGCCUUCGGGUUGUAAACCGCUUUUAGUAAGGAAGAAGCCGCAAGGUGACGGUACUUGCAGAAAAAGGACCGGCUAACUACGUGCCAGCCGCCGCCGUAAGAC
rnacentral:rRNA from 1 species